GGGCAUGUGUAUUGUAAGCGUUGCUCCAUCUCCUUCACACAUUCUAAAUGAAUAGUGUGUCCACAUGGCAAAACGGAAAUGUCGCUCAUUGUAUCGAAAAGAAACUCAAAGCAAACAGGACAAUUGUGGUGCAUUGCCUUUUCCACACAAUUGUGGGAGUUCUUCAUCAGUUUUGAAUAGCAACAACCACACUUUUUGCAGUGGAAGAAGUUAUC
rnacentral:misc_RNA from 1 species